rnacentral:rRNA from 1 species
GACGAACGCUGGCGGCGUGCCUAAUACAUGCAAGUAGGACGCAGUUGCGAACGGGUGAGUAACGCGUAGGUAACUACCUAUUAGAGGGGGAUAACUAUUGGAAACGAUAGCUAAUACCGCCUACUAGUAGAUGGACCUGCGUUGUAUUAGCUAGGAGGUAGGGUAAUGGCCUAACUAGGCAACGAUACAUAGCCGAACUGGGAGGGUGAUCGGCCACAUUGGGACUGAGAGACGGCCCAGACUACGACGGGAGGCAUCAGGAGGGAAUCUUCGGCAAUGGGGGGAACCCUGGACGAGCAACGGCGCGGGAGUGAAGAAGGUUUUCGGAUCGUAAAGCUCUGUUGUUAAGGAAGCGGUACUUAACCAGAAAGGGACGGCUAACUACGUGCCAGCAGCCGCGGUAAUAC